rnacentral:rRNA from 1 species
GACGAACGCUGGCGGCGUGCUUAACACAUGCAAGUCGAACGGAAAGGCCCUGCUUUUGUGGAGUGCUCGAGUGGCGAACGGGUGAGUAACACGUGAGUAACCUGCCCUUGACUUUGGGAUAACUUCAGGAAACUGGGGCUAAUACCGGAUAGGAGCUCCUGCUGCAUGGUGGGGGUUGGAAAGUUUCGGCGGUUGGGGAUGGACUCGCGGCUUAUCAGCUUGUUGGUGGGGUAGUGGCUUACCAAGGCUUUGACGGGUAGCCGGCCUGAGAGGGUGACCGGCCACAUUGGGACGGAGAUACGGCCCAGACUGCUACGGGAGGCAGCAGUGGGGAAUAUUGCACAAUGGGCGGAAGCGUGAUGCAGAAACGCCGCGUGCGGGAUGACGGCCUUCGGGUUGUAAACAGAUUUAGAAUGAGACGAAGAGUGAGUGACGGUAAUGGGUAAAGAAGCACCGGCUAACUACGUG